rnacentral:rRNA from 1 species
GUCCACGCCGUAAACGAUGGUCACUAGGUGUGUGUGGUAUCGACCCCACACGUGCCGCAGCUAACGCAAUAAGUGACCCGCAUGGGGAGUACGGCCGCAAGGUUGAAACUCAAAGGAAUUGACGGGGGCCCGCACAAGCGGUGGAGCAUGUGGAUUAAUACGUCACUAACCGUAGAACCUUACCCAGGCUUGACAUCUGUGGAACCCUCCUGAAAGGGAGGGGUGCCUCGCAAGAGGAGCCGCAAGACAGGUGUUGCAUGGCUGUCGU